ensembl:lncRNA
GGCGCACAGUCGGGACGGCGGCUUCCAGCAGGGAUCCAUUAAGAAAUUAGACGCUGGGGUUUGGGUCUCGGCCACAAGAUGAAGGGAAACCAAUACUGGCUGGUAUCUGGGAAACUGUCACCAUGCUACCAAAUGAGGUUACAGGAUAUGCGUUACAGGGGUUGAUUCUGGGUGGUGGGGGGGGGCGCAAGGGGGUGAAAAGAGAUGGAGACACAGGCGCCCACCUGCAGCAGGAAGCCGCAGGUUUUAAAGUGCUGUUGGGUGUUCCAGCUCCAAACAUCGGCGUUGUAUUAAAGAGAGCGCACGUCUCGUGCAUGACAAGGUGGACCUACGAAGGAGGCCCUGCGCGCUACGAAGACAUGCUAAUGCUCGUGAUGGAUGUGGCACGUUAGACCGGCCACGUCGGCGUUAUUACAUUCCCAGACACAAGGAAGCUCCGCGUCUGGAGAUUCACGAAGCCGUGGAAAACUUAAUAAGGCCUGUCCCCAUGGCAUGAAUAUCUUGUUUCGUCGAGGAAAAACACUCCAUGAAUGUCAAGGUUGGCCCCAAUGUUGUGCGUCUCACACAGGAUUCUCCGCACUGCCGACGCGAUGACAGUUUUGGCUUAAAACCCGAGCAUAUACCUUUUUUUUCUUUUUGAUUGGAUUAUUACACACAAGUCAUGUGUGUCCACCGCUCACGUCGGGGGAAAACAUCCCUUCUGGAGAAAAUAAAGCGACUUGACCGAAGUCCCCGGCUGGCCUUCUGCCAAGCGCUGGAUCUGGGAGCCACUUCUCGGGUGGCUUGUUAAACUCUGGUUGCCCCUGGGAGCCACCGAUCAACAAACGCCGAGGAGGUGACGCACCGCACGUCGGAGAUAAUAUUACACGCUGACAAUGGCCGCCUGGGCUGAGAUUUAGAAAGAGCCCCCGUUGGAAGCUUCUGUAAACAUUACACAGAAGGCCGGCCCGAGAAACAUCUCGCUCACGCGAACUGGUCAGGCGACAUUCCAUUCAUAACUUGUGAGGUUAUUUUUAAUGAGUAUAAACAGAGUUUAUUUAUCAGAUGUGGUUCUAGCUAAUAAGAGUGCAAAUCCCCCCAUGAGACUUCUUUUUGGGGGAGUUUUUCCUUGAGAAUUCGGUAAUAAACUUUGUUUUGUUUAUAUUCCAG